ensembl:rRNA 5S_rRNA 5S ribosomal RNA
GCUUACGGCCACACCGCCUGGUUCACGCCCGAUCUCGUUUGAUCUCGGAAGCUAAGAUAGGGAGGGCCUGGUUAGUACUUGGAUGGGAGACCGCCUGGGAAUACCAGGUAUUGUAAGAU